rnacentral:rRNA from 1 species
UGCGUAGGCGGAUUUAUAAGUCAGUGGUGAAAUCCUGAAGCUUAACUUCAGAACUGCCAUUGAUACUGUAGAUCUUGAGUACGGUUGAGGUGGGCGGAAUGUGUCAUGUAGCGGUGAAAUGCUUAGAUAUGACACAGAACACCAAUUGCGAAGGCAGCUCGCUAAGCCGCUACUGACGCUAAUGCACGAAAGCGUGGGGAGCGAACAGGAUUAGAUACCCUGGUAGUCC